UGGGGAAUAGUGUAAUGGUAGCACAACUGACUCUGGAUCAGUUAGUUGGGGUUCGAGUCCCUAUUCCCCAG
rnacentral:tRNA from 1 species